CGGAGCUUUGCAUUCCAGACCGGGCCUCAGCUGAGACCCCAGGAAGCUCCCUCUAAAGGGAGGCUGCGGAGAUGCACCCUGGGCUCCAGCCCUAGCGCACACUUCCUGCUCUGCCCCUGGACAUUCAAGCCAAAAAUUUACAAAACAUCCUCUCCCCUGGAACCGAGUGCUUGCUCCAGGAGACCCAGCCCUCCCCACGUCGGAUCUCAGCCUGCCCUCCCCUUCCUUCCGCGGAACCUCUCCCACAUCAGAGGCGCUCGGCUUCCCGAGCAGAGAUGCUGGACCCGCUGUAGCAGGUGAUACCCGAGGGAGCGAGGCGAUCGGGGACAACUGGCCACGAGUCCCAAGGGUUCCAAGCCAGAGGAAAAAAGGUCCUGGUCUGGGCUGCUGGCGUGUUCAUUCUUCAGAGUCAAUUGGGAAUCAGUUCAAAGACAGAAUCAACAAAGUCUCCAGAACGAUCAAAACUGUUGUGUUUAUCUCUGGGAGCUGGAUGAAUUGUAAAGUAUCCAGACACCCCAGCCCUCUUGUCUAGACGUCAGGCAAAACCCCUGCCCUCCUGUUAUGGUUAAGACCCACCCGCCAGGCCUUAUCUUGCAUCAUUUUUGCUUUUGUUCUUGUUAUCAAAAUCUGUAAGGCAGUCAUAAUUCAUCAAGGUCUGCCAACCCCUUUCAGGGGAAGACGUCUGUCUGGCAGUGUCAGCCUUUGUUCUUAAUUUUGGAGCUGCUCUUUCUGUGGGAACCUGCAACUCUGAAAAUCAAGAGUAGGAUAAGAAACGCCUUUAUCCAUGCACGGAGAUCAUGAAG
rnacentral:lncRNA from 1 species